UCACUGGCAGUCCAGUGGUCAGGAUUCUGUGCUUUCACUGCUGGGGCUCAGGUUCAAUCCCUGGUCAGGGAA
rnacentral:tRNA from 1 species